UGAACGGAGAUUAGCCCAUCACCGAAGUCUAUNCGCGUUUGCGAACAGGACAAUGUGGUGUUAAGGUAUGCCCCUACGUCCGUCGACCUGUCCUAAGUCCAACUUCGAUUGCGGCUUAAAAUUGUCCAAAGCGGGUGCAAAGACCCGUUCGGGCAGGUUUAUUUGUACCCUANGCGGACCUAGAUGGGUGUGCUUUCGAGUCGGAUUGCUUGAGAAUGCAGUCCAAAGUGGGUGGUAAACUCCAUCCAAGGCUAAAUACUGGCACGAGUCCGAUAGUAGACAAGUACCGUGAGGGAAAGUUGAAAAGUACUCUGAAGAGAGAGUAAAUAGUACGUGAAGCCGCUUGCAGAGAAUCGGGUGGAGUCAAGCUUCAUGCUUGGAAGAUUGUCGUCCGGUCGUUAUUGUGUYGGGACGUGAGGUUUAGCAACUUGGAAUAAGUUGGAUGCAUUCGUGCAUUGCAAGUCUUUCCGGGGAGCUUGAUUGUCUGUACCUCUAUUUCCCUGACUGGGCGCCGAAUUUUUCCUAUGCAUAGAUCACGGUUGGUAGCGAGUUGUGUGUUGUGACUGUCAUACAGUGUUUUGGCUGACACUUGUUGGUCAUGCAUUGGAUGGGAGGUUGUGAYGGGAUUAGCUUGCCUGAGCCUGUUGCUUAACUUGGUUUCGACCAGCCGACGGUCAUGAUAUCAUAUNCCUUGUUACCUUUUGAUGAGGUGCCUGACCUAUACGGUAGGGUGCCANUCAAGGC
rnacentral:rRNA from 1 species